GGCUUCGCAGCUCAACUGGUAGAGCACUUGCCACGUUGAGGUAUGGUGUUUCUGCCGCUGGCUCGAAUCCAGCCGAAGCCC